CCGUGCGCCCACCCCGCGGCAGCGGCGACGGCCCGGCCACCCUCUGCCGAGCCGGCAGGGCUCCUCCAGCCGCCCGGGGCAACGGGGUUUUCUUUUCGUGACAGAUAACAGUAAUAAAAGUCGGUAGGGAGUGGUAACGAGUUGCCGCGUUUUGAGCAUCCAGGGGAAGACGGAGCGCUGUGCGUGAGGCCGUGCCCGAGGAGCGACUGGCGCCCUUCCCCAGCCGGGGCCCGGGGCACCUGGGCAUUGGGGCAGCCUUCCUCUGAGGUGCUCCUCAGCCGUGCCGAGACACCCAUUUUGUGGAGAGCUCUCUGGCGUCGGGCGGUUUGGUGGCCGGAGGCGGCCCUGCGCUUCCAGAUGAAGGGGUUUUGGUACAGCGCUGCAUCGCCACGGCCAGGGCCGGGGAAGGGGACCUGGCUUGCUCCCAGGGUCACUGCAUCACCGCCAGGCAACGUCGCCAGGCUUAGGUGGUUAAGCCGGGGUCGCUGAGCUGCCACAGGUGAGGCGAGCAGGGGCCCCGUCCCCAGCCCCGGCCGGGCAGGGACGGGGGGCGUUGACAGAGGCAGCCCUGCUUUGAGGGACGUGGGGGAGCAGCAGGACUUGACCUCAGGUCAGCACAGAAACAGAGACAACGCACCCUCCCCCUCCAAAGCCACACUGCCCCUUAUCCAAACGUCCUCACAGUACUGAGGUACUGCGCUGGCGUGGACAACUUUUUGUGAACGGAUAAUAAGCCGUCACAUUUAAAGGAAGUGACUCAAAAACCUUGGGUGCAACAGAAUUGCUCUACCUGAGGCAAGCACAUCACGCGGUUGUGACAGUACUUUUUUUUUCUUUUUAUAUCAGUAUCAUGCCAAAUUUGGUGGUGCUGCCCAGCACUACUCUGCACUAGGCUCCCCAGCUUGUUCACUGGUAACUGCACCUCAGUUUUGCAUUCAUCGGAGAAUCUCCUCAUUAGCUCACAUAUAUGACUCUCUUAUGUGUGUGUGUAUAUAAAAAUACCAUAUAAAAAUUGGCUGUGGAGCACAGUGAAUCAUGAAGAGGUGUGCAGCAUCACCCUUAAUCAUAUACAUUAAUUGCACCUUACAAAGAUGUAUGGUAUCGAGAUGAAUCACAGCAAAGAACACUUUACUGAUGAAUCAAACACAAUCAUUUCAUGAAUAUGAGAAGCUUUUACCUAAGAGACGCUAUUUUGGCACAGAGGGGGCUAGUCAAAAGUUAAAACAGCGAAGCACAAGCACACAUAUCUGGGCAUGAAAUAAAACAUAUUAUUUCAGUGUGCCAUAAUAAUUAAUGAGAGUAAGAGUUCAGCAAGAUCUUAAGCACUGAGUUUGACACAUACCUGAAAAUGCUACAUCAAAAAGCCGGCGCUGGUGGCUUCACUUCUGCUCUCCUGGCAAACUCAGCACUGCCAGGACAAGAACUGAAUGAGGUCUGAGUGAGGCAUGCUUGCUCUAGCGUCACCCGGAUAUGGCAAUUUCAGACAAUUUUUGUCUGAGGCAAGGGUGUUUGUACUUUGUUAUGAGCUGAUAUGUUGGAAAGCCUGGAGAAGUCUCCAGAAACAAACAAGCUAAUGGCCCACAUUGUAAAAGAAAGAGCUAAUACCAAAUGCAAAUCACAUGAAACUCAUGCUCUGGAGGAGGAGAGAUGCCACAUAUUUAGUCUCUUAAAUGCUGUGACUAACAUGUUUAUCCUUCCUGUCUGAGGCAAUUGCCAAUUAGUCAAAUGAUUUUAAAAUAUAUUUAAAUAUUAAAUCACUUGAUUCAUAGGUAUUUGCUUCAGAGAGCAGUGUACUUGCAUUCAGAGGUCUCUUGCCAAGGGCAUUUUGUCCAUGGUUGUGUAUACCCGGAAUUAGGAUUUAUCAUUUUUAAUUUUAGGUCCUGGUUGUAGAAAGAAAUAGAUUGUCCCAGUAGUGCUUGAAGUAAGACAUAAAUUGAGGGGGUGGUUAAUAUCUCUUACUCUAAGAGUAGGAGUACAGAGUUCUGCAUCAAGAACUGCAUUAACAUACCCAUGUUUAAGAUACGUAAUUGCACUUGCUCUAUUAGAGGACAAUAGAGCAAAUGAGAGAGACUGUAAGUGCGCUGUGCAAGUAUCGUCAAGCCCAUGUGGCAAACUAUCGUGCAACUGGAGUUAUUAUAACAAGGUUUUAAGCAUACAUUUUUGGUUUUGUAUUUUGCUGCUCUCUAGUUAAUGAGUCUUUGUGUCUUUUCAAUUUUUUUUCCAUUAUCAUGAGAACUAACUAAUUAGCUAGAAAAAAAGAACAGAAACUGGAGUUUCUAAUGUGGUUGUAAUAACAUAAAUAAGGAACUGGCACAUGACACUACUUUCUUUUUCCUCCUUUUUGAGGUAGCAAAUUCAAUUUUGCCUACACAACUGAGAAAAUUCGAGUUAGGUCUGGAGAAUUUGAUCCUAAUCUCAGGCCCACUACUGAGGUUUCUUCAAUUUAUGUGGAACAGGGAGAGAAAGUGAACAUUUAAAAGCUAACAAAAGUUACUGUAAAGCCACAACAAUCAGUCCGGGAUAAAGGCAGCUCUAGCAACUUUUCACUCAAUUUUGAAGUUGAAAGGGUUCGUAUAAAUUGUCUCUUUACAUCUCAUUGCCACACAGGGCGUGCAAUGAAGCCUCAGUGCCUUUCGCCACCGAGAGCGUGGUUUCCUGUGCGCUUGCAGGCGGUUUAAAUCGGUGCGGCUGCCCCAAGAGGCACUGGCAGCCCUGCCCUCUCCCGCCGCCUCUCCGUGUGCCGGCCGUUCUUCCGAGGCCACGUGGUGAAGUGGGCUGUGGAGGCAAAGCCACCUCCGGGAAAAGACAUUAGUUUUCACCCAGAUCAGCAUCCCAAUCCAGGUCACCAGGCAAUUGCACAGACUGGUGGCAGUGUAACGCCGCGAGUGCGGCCGGGCUGCUGUGGGGGGAAGGAGCAUGGACCUGCUCUUUUGGCAGCGGUGAUGGCUUAUGACAGCUUUGACCAGACAUGAAACUCUGGGCACAAAUUGUUUGGAGUUGGACAGGCAGCUCAGCGGUUUUCACUUCUGCUUCCGGACUGGCUUGGCGCUCCCGUCAGGCUUAGCACUGAGAUUUCCCUGACGCGCUGCCUGUGCUCCUCAGGAGGCUGCGGGUGCACGCAUUUACAAGUUGGCCAGAAAACAAAAAGGGGGAGGGUGAGCUUUGCUUAGGAUACACCAGCGUGGAAGGAUGUAGACACAUUGCGACAGAAGAUGUAGGACAAGUUUUCACUAGUCUUAAUCUAGCUAGUUUGAGCAAUAGUAGCAGUAAAGAUGUGGCAGUAUGGAUUUUACGCAGUUUGUACAACCCAGUUUCUGAUCUAGAAUGGGUAGGCGGGUGGCUAGCCUGCACUGAAAGCCCUGUCUUCGUCAUUAUUUCCACUCGUGCCGUCCAGAUUAAAGUCCAUACAGGUGUGCCUGGAUAUGCUGCAAUCCCACACCUCGGCUGUUGCAUUGGUUCUUUUUCAUGAUCAAAAGAGAACUGCUUGGUCAUACUAGCCAAAAUGAGCUGCAUUUAGCCUUUCCGUGAGAUGGAGUCAGAGCGCUCUAGGGAGUUCUGUAGUGGAAAAAUCCAAGGAGCUGCCUUCAGAUUUGCCUUAGACGCAUUCCCAUUUCUUUUCAGCUAUAAAAGACAGCCUGAGAGUUUGCCCACAAGCACAGGACCGGCUGACACCCCACAUGCCCACAGGGCAAGAGCUGUGACACGUUUGAUUCAGCAGCUAAAUUUUUGGUGUUCCUGUAGUUAGUAGCAAAUUCUUCUUGACUUGCAUGGGGGAAUAAGGAAGUUAGAGCCUGCGGUACCCGUCACACAUCUCUUGGACCCACACAGUUAUACUGAAUUUAUUGUUGUUGCGCCUGUUUGUGUUUUCACAUCCACCUUCCUGCCAGCUCUGCUGAAGCAACAGGCCAUUGAUUUCCCUCUUACCUUUUUCCAAUAGACUGCUCGGUCUUACUGAGUCUUGGAGGAGGCAGGCGUAAUUCCAUCAUGAAGGAUUACCAGGGGCAGAGGAGAACACAGAACAGUCAACAGCUCGCUUAAAGCACUGUAUGCUAUUUUCUAUAUUUAAAGUAAUUAGUGGGUAACUAUUCUGUAUAUGUGCCUUACUUGGAGAGUAAAGGCAGCCCCUGGCAUCAUGGAAACUGUGGCCGCCAUUGACAGAGUCAGUCUGAACUAAAAAGAAAAUAUUAGCUCUUUUUAAUGAUUUACUGCAAGGUUAAAUUAUUUUUUGCUGCUUGUUUAAUUCAGAGUACAUUCAUGACAAACAAAUCAAUAUAUUGAAGAUCACAUCUCUUUCUCUUUGGGUUUAGAGACAAAAGAAGACUGUAAAAUGGCUGUAAUAUUAGACUGCCUCAAAAGAGCCAUUAUUUCAGAUAAAUCUGUUUACCUAUAGCAUCUAAAUGCCUUUGCCUGUGUUUUAAAAAGAGGCAAAAUAUUCCAAAAAAAAAAAAAAUCCAAAAAAAAACCCCUCAGGGCAAAUACAAAGGACCAAAACCACUAGCAUGCUGUAUUUAGUAUUGUUAGACUAUACAGCAGCUAGUUGUGACAGGAGGGGAAAAAAAAAGUCUGGUGCAAGCCUCUAACAAGUGAUCAGGAGCAUCACAAAAGAGUUGUACGCCAGGCAGCUGGAACAGGGGAAACAUUAGGGCAGGAAUUACAAACGGAAGAAAAUGUUGGAUUUCAAAAGGAAACUAGCCAGCAACCCGCCGGUGUGACAGCCCUCGAGGGUCAGCCCCACAGAGAGAGAGGACAUCUAAGGAAAGCGCGGCAGCUCCGGCUCGCUCUUAUCUGAGAACAUCCACAAUGCUGCCGGCUGUACUCCUGCGCGGGAAUAAUGUACACCUGCGAAAACCGACAAAGAGCAGGCAAAUACAGCCAGCGGAUUCACUCGCCGGCUGAGGCAGCAUCUGAAGAAAGCACUAUUUAAAAACACAAGAGGUGGUGUUAUAAUGAGGAAACCAUGGAGAGCGAACAGCUUAUGAUUAUUGACAGAAGUUGAUUAAGAAAUGGAUUAUUGUCUGUUAGGAUGUUGGAGUAUCCACUGUCACCUCUGUCCUCGGUAUCCUGAUGUAAAUUUUUUUUUUUAAUUGAUGUAUUCAUUUGCAGUCUUUAUUUUCAUUGGUACCGUGCCUGAUUUGCAUUUGAAAGUAAAAAAAGGGAAAAAUUAAACAGGACCGGCUGACCCCUGCCAUGUGACAAAGGCUUAGCUUUCUGCCACUCUGACCCCAGUGGAGCAGGGCCAGGAAAUAAAGGUCAGCCUCUUACCAGUA